CCUACGGGAGGCUGCAGUGGGGAAUAUUGGACAAUGGGCGAAAGCCUGAUCCAGCCAUGCCGCGUGUGUGAAGAAGGCCUUCGGGUUGUAAAGCACUUUCAGUGGGGAAGAAAGCCUUGGGGCUAAUACCCUCGAGGAAGGACAUCACCCACAGAAGAAGCACCGGCUAACUCCGUGCCAGCAGCCGCGGUAAUACGGAGGGUGCGAGCGUUAAUCGGAAUUACUGGGCGUAAAGCGCGCGUAGGCGGUCUGAUAAGCCGGUUGUGAAAGCCCCGGGCUCAACCUGGGAACGGCAUCCGGAACUGUCAGGAUAGAGUGCAGGAGAGGAAGGUAGAAUUCCCGGUGUAGCGGUGAAAUGCGUAGAGAUCGGGAGGAAUACCAGUGGCGAAGGCGGCCUUCUGGACUGACACUGACGCUGAGGUGCGAAAGCGUGGGUAGCAAACAGGAUUAGAUACCCUAGUAGUC
rnacentral:rRNA from 1 species